GAAACUUAGGAUAACCCGAUACAAACCGAAGGCCUUCAAAGCCUUAAACAAGAGUUAAAACCCUCUUAGUUUCUGU
rnacentral:tRNA from 1 species